rnacentral:rRNA from 1 species
UACGUAGGGUGCAAGCGUUGUCCGGAAUUAUUGGGCGUAAAGAGCUCGUAGGCGGUCUGUCGCGUCGGUUGUGAAAACUCGGGGCUCAACCCCGAGCCUGCAAUCGAUACGGGCAGACUAGAGUGCUGUAGGGGAGACUGGAAUUCCUGGUGUAGCGGUGAAAUGCGCAGAUAUCAGGAGGAACACCGAUGGCGAAGGCAGGUCACUGGGCCGCAACUGACGCUGAGGAGCGAAAGCAUGGGGAGCGAACAGG